AUACGGAGGGUGCAAGCGUUGUCCGGAUUUAUUGGGUUUAAAGGGUGCGUAGGCGGCCCGUUAAGUCAGUGGUGAAAGGCAUCAGCUUAACUGAUGAAGUGCCAUUGAAACUAGCGGGCUUGAGUACAGACGAGGUAGGCGGAAUUUAUGGUGUAGCGGUGAAAUGCAUAGAUACCAUAAAGAACACCGAUAGCGAAGGCAGCUUACUAGACUGAGACUGACGCUGAGGCACGAAAGCGUGGGGAGCAAACAGGAUUAGAAACCCCAGUAGUCC
rnacentral:rRNA from 1 species